rnacentral:lncRNA from 1 species
AAAAGGAACCACAGUGAAACUAGCAUUAUUUGUGUAUUUUCUGUUUUUCUUCCUACUGAAUAUGCUUUUAUUGCUUUCUUUUUUUUUUUUUUCAGUACGCGGGCCUCUCACUGUUGUGGCCUCUCCCGUUGCGGAGCACAGGCUCCGGGCGCGCAGGCUCAGCGGCCAUGGCUCACGGUCCCAGCCGCUCCGCGGCAUGUGGGAUCUUCCCGGACCGGGGCACGAACCCGUGUCCCCUGAAUCGGCAGGCGGACUCCCAACCACUGCGCCACCAGGGAAGCCCCUUUUAUUGCUUUCUUGUAAUCAGAGUUUCUGGUCCCACAUGUGAGGUUCUUGGAAGUUGCCACUCCAUCCUAACAACGAGUAAAAAGCUGAACAAUCUGAGAAACCAACUACUCUUGUGGAUCCAUAAGAGAGGGGAGGACAAAGGCCAAACGUCUGCCCCUGGGAUUGGAGAGAUAGACAGACCAACACAAGGAGUCAUGGCUUCCCAUAGCAGAGACUCACGAGUGGAAACUGCCAGGGGAACCAGUGCCAAGGAGUUCUCAGAAGGCUGA